CCUAGGGGUGGCUGCAGUGGGGAAUAUUGGACAAUGGGCGAAAGCCUGAUCCAGCCAUGCCGCGUGUGUGAAGAAGGCCUUCGGGUUGUAAAGCACUUUCAGUGGGGAAGAAAGCCUUGGGGCUAAUACCCUCGAGGAAGGACAUCACCCACAGAAGAAGCACCGGCUAACUCCGUGCCAGCAGCCGCGGUAAUACGGAGGGUGCGAGCGUUAAUCGGAAUUACUGGGCGUAAAGCGCGCGUAGGCGGUCUGAUAAGCCGGUUGUGAAAGCCCCGGGCUCAACCUGGGAACGGCAUCCGGAACUGUCAGGCUAGAGUGCAGGAGAGGAAGGUAGAAUUCCCGGUGUAGCGGUGAAAUGGGUAGAGAUCGGGAGGAAUACCAGUGGCGAAGGCGGCCUUCUGGACUGACACUGACGCUGAGGUGCGAAAGCGUGGGUAGCAAACAGGAUUAGAUACCCUAGUAGU
rnacentral:rRNA from 1 species